AGUGCGAACAUGAUGUGUUGUUA
rnacentral:siRNA from 1 species